UUGAUUUAGGGAAGUUUUGUGGAAGUUGAGUUUGUUUCAGAAGGCUUACGUUUCCAUUUGUUUAUUCAUAUUUCAUAAGAUGUUACAUAACCGCGUUUUUGUAGAAAACAAGAAGUCGUCGAGGUUUGACUUCAAUAUUUGUUUAUUCACUUAUACCUUUGAUUAAGUGUUGCUUCAAUCUAUAUAUAUAUAUAUAUAUACACCGGUCGACACGGAGACGAGGAGAGAGGACAGGAGCAAAUGAAAAUGAAGAAAAUAACAACGCAAGCUUUUCUUGUUCUAUGUUUGCUUCUUAUACUUUUAUAUCUAUCCUUCGAGGUUCGUGUCGCAGAGGCUAGACGUCGUCACCUAGUUAUGGUGCCGAAAACCCAGAUAUGCACAAAACCUCCCCCACCGUGUGGAGCAUCUCCAAGUGGAAGUCAAGUUACGGGACAAAUGGAUAAAUCUGGUUGUAAAACCAUUCCACGACCUCCUCGCGGAUAUCUGCAGUGCUCUCAGCAAAAGGGGUAGCUGCAUUGAAUGUGAACUAUACGGCCAGGUUCUGAUAAAGAUUUUCAAACAGAAGCUCAGGCACGUUAUAGAAGAAAAGUUUCGUUACGUUUAGCUAGUAACCGUAUCAUUUAAAAUAAUCGUUUGCAUGCUGUGCCAAAUCUGUUGUGUUUGUUGAAUUAUGACAUUUUUUAUCACUUAUUUAAGAAAAACCAUGUAUAUAAUAUAUUGUCAAUGAAGAAAAUAACACUAGCGUUUCUUCUUUUAA